UACAGAGGGGGCAAGCGUUGUUCGGAAUUACUGGGCGUAAAGGGCGCGUAGGCGGCCUGUUAAGUCGAACGUGAAAUCCCCGGGCUCAACCCGGGAACUGCGUCCGAUACUGGCAGGCUUGAAUCCGGGAGAGGGAUGCGGAAUUCCAGGUGUAGCGGUGAAAUGCGUAGAUAUCUGGAGGAACACCGUGGCGAAGGCGGCGAUCCUGGACCGGUAUUGACGCGUGAGGCGCGAAAGCCAGGGGAGCAAACGGG
rnacentral:rRNA from 1 species